UACGGAGGGGGCGAGCGUUGUUCGGAAUUACUGGGCGUAAAGGGCGCGUAGGCGGCCCAUCAAGUUAGGCGUGAAAGCCCCCGGCUCAACUGGGGAACGGCCGUCAAUACUACCGGGCUCGAGUGUUGGAGGGGUGAGUGGAAUUCCUGGUGGAGCGGUGGAAUGCGUAGAUAUCAGGAGGAACGCCGGAGGCGAAAGCGACUCACUGGACAACAACUGACGCUGAGGGGCGAAAGCUAGGGGAGCAAACGGGAUUAGAUACCCGAGUAGU
rnacentral:rRNA from 1 species